rnacentral:tRNA from 1 species
GCCUGGCUGGCUCAGUCAGUAGAGCAUGAGACUCUUGAUCUCAGGGUUGUGAGUUCAAGCCCCAUGUUGGCUG